UUGCUAAUUAGAAUAUAAGUGUCGUCUGCUUCGUUUUCGUUUCAAUUUCUCGAUUUCAAUAUUUCAAAGUUUCGAAAAGGAGACCAGGAUCGGAGACUGAGAUUUCAAACUUGUUUGGACGUGGAUGCUCGAAAAUAAAAUUACAUAAAUGUGGUCGUCGUCAUGUCAACUUCAGUGUCGCAGCUCUUCAUGCUCUCCAUGCUGUUUGGCAGAUUUGAGGCCUGAGCCAGCCAUCGUAGCGGCAAUAAAGUUUUGCUUGCGCUGGACCUCCAGUCAUAUGAUUUGACUGAUGACCUCCUGCCAUCAAUCACUGUUUUAUCGCUCAGAUAAACAGCAUCCUGUUUCAUUGGAGAAACUUCCAGUGUCGACCGAGUCAAGGAUCCCUUCAAUUCCCCUUUCUUUAAAUGUCCUCGUGUAUGCCCAUGUGAAUGUGGGUGUAUUCACGAGGACUUCCUUUUCCCUUAUUCCGUUUGAUGGUGGAUUCAACAUUUCAGCGGAUG